UGUAUAAGCACCCAAGAUCUAUCCAGCGAAUAACCGAUGUAGGACUAAACACAUGCCUGCACGGGUCCUUACAGAGGUCAUUGUUUAAUGGGCCAAUUUACAAUUCAAGCUGUAAAAUGGGAACCUUAUCAGGUAAUACAUGAGAAGUUUAUGGAGUGCACUUUUAGCUAGCUUUAAAGGCAUAAUUGAGAAUGAAGAUGCAGAAAUUAUACAAUGUUUUUUCUAGCUUUCCAUACUUUGGUGUUUGGGCUUGUUUUCCUGGAAGGAGCUCGUCAGAGUAAACAGACCAUUUCCACAACAGCAAUAUAUGAAAAUGUUGUGAAUGAAUUGAUUGAAAAUCUUGGCUUGGCUUUAGAGAAAUACCAUGUGAAAUGUUAUGUGAUCCAUCAAAAAAGAAAUUAACGAAUGCUACGAGCUUUAACAUUAUCCAAAUCAUGUUAUAUGUGUUGGUAAUUUGUUCCUUUUUUUCAUGUCAUCAGCAAAACCUGCAACAAAAUGAUGGAUGACUACGGCUAAGACUAACCAUGACAAGUUAUUGCAGCUAUUUGUAAAAGAUAAAGCAGCAGGAUCAAUUGUUAGAACUUGAAACUGCAGAGAAGAGAGCAUGCUGAUGGGCUAGGUCAGAAAGUGUAGACCUUAUGGACAACAUUGACAAUAUUGAUCAUAUGAUGUCUCAAAAUGAACUUAUUCUGGAGGAAUUUAAUAAUACAAUCAAUGAUACCACUCAACCAGCAAUUUCAUUUGAAGGAGAAUCCCAAGCACCUUCCUUAUCUGCAAUAUCAUCAAAAGACAAGAAAAGAAACGGUUUAAGAUUUGAUGAAGAGUAUGAAGUAAUAAAGAAGGCAAUUUAUGAUGUUGCUGCUGCAAUCGAGGGUGGUCGAGAUUCAAAAGGGAAGGCCAAGAAGAGAAAGAAUAGAAGAUAGAAGUGUCUCAAAGAACAGAGCUGGAUAUACCAUCUUGUAUACGAAAUGUUAGGCAGGUGAAGUUAGUAGUGCAUAUUAAAGCCAGUAUUCUGAUGAGGUGUAGUAUAAUGUCCAUAAGCCCAAUGUUGUUAUUUUGCUUGAGACUUAUCUUACUAGAGAAUUCGUUUGGGAGUUCUCAGAUCAAUUGGUGAUGAUUAGAAAUUCAGUAUCAUUCUUGAGGAAGGUUCCUCUGGCAAGAUUCUAGCUCUUUGGGACUCCACAACUUGGGGAUGGUUAUUGUUGUUUAUGUCUCUUAGUCUGUGAUUUGUGUAACAGUUGCUAAUUUAUCUUCUUUGGCUUGUCUGUUUUGAGGUUUUUAUGCAAGCACAGGGAUGGAUGAUCAAAGCUGCCAUAUGGAGUGACAUGAUUCAAAUCUUAGGUGGUUGAUUCAUCGCUUUCAUGCCUGUGGAUAUGAAUGUUAUAUGUAUUGCAGAAAAGAGAAGAGAGUGACCUUUUUUAUCUGGAUCAUAACACGGUAUGGGUUCAAGGGUUUAUUCCUUCCGAAUGGAUUAUUUGAUACAGGUUCUUAUACAGGAUCAAGGAAUUCAAAUAAUAACUUCCGGCUAGCCAUUUUGGGUGAGAUCCUGGGUUGUUACAACAGCUUUGCAGAGUUAGUAAAAUGGAUGUCCUUGAGUUUGUUAACCAUUAUUAACAGAGCAGCAGCUGCUUGCAGCAUACCUGGUGAGAAUACUCUUGAUUGAACCAAUUGGCAAGCCUUCUUGCUAUAGAAAUUGGCAAGAGGUUAGAGUAAGCCAUUACCUGGAGACACAUCUGAACAUGAGGAAAUACUUUAGAAGACGGGUGAGAAAGAAACUAGACCAGGUGAUCUACUGGUAGCCUCGUUGCCGGGCAAUUGAUAAAAUCUCAUUGGACAGUGCAAAAGGGGUUGCUUCAUGGUUGUUGAGAAUUUAAAAUGGAGGCAUGGUGAGAGGAGAAUUUUGUUUGGAAUAUGAGCAUCCUUGUCUGCAAUCUGAGUACUAGUAUGACUCGGUUUUGAAACAGUGUAAUGGGGGUUUAUCCUUGCUUAAACAUGGGUAAUCCUGACUAUCUGGUCAAAUCAGGGAUAAUGGGCUAAAUUCUAUAAUGUAAGUUUCUAGUAUUAGCUAUGCCUAGGUGAUGUAAGCCCAUUUAAUUUUUGUUUGAUCCAAAUAUAAUCCUUAUUCAUAAUUUAAAUAGUAUUUUAUAUUUAAAACGUGUGGUGCAAUUUUUAUACAAAUCAUAUUUUAUGUUAAAUAUUUAGGAAAAAGAUUUAAAAAUUUUAAAUUCAAUGAUGCAUCCUUCAAACUGAAAAUUCAUAUUGUUAAAAAUAAUUUUACACUACAAAAGAAUAUUUAGAAACCAAAGUUCACAUCAUUUUAGUAGCUUCUAACCUUUGCAUUUAGUUGAUAAAACAAAAGAACAAUAUCAAUUACAUUAAGUAUGCUAAAUUACAAGAUAGGAUACAUGUUGAUAAUCUACUUUAUUGAUUAUAAUAUACAUAUCUUUGAAUAUAGAUAUAUUUUGUAUCAUGCUGCUAAAAAUAUUUAUUUUUGUACCCACAUGAUGCUUAGAUUAGAAAGUACUAAAAUAUACUAUGAAUUUUGAAUUCCAGUCAUUUUGCAUCAAGAUGUGAUCUAACUAUUAUUACUUUACUAUUAUGGUAAUAUAAUAUUUUAUAUUAUUAUAAUAUAAUAACAUAGUGAUAUUUUAAAUAAAAAUUAAAUAUUAACAUAAUAUUAUAUUACGAGGUUCAUGGUUUAUUCUUUUAUUAGGUUUACAUAUAUAAGAUCAUUCCAUGAAUUGUGAAUUAUAACCAUGUUGUUGCCCUGAAUUCAUCUUAUUUGUUGGAAAGAAAUGAACAAUUAGUCAAAGGUAGGAAUAAUAUUGCUGUCGUUGGGAACCGAUCUAACCUAGAUGUUGAGUUAGUGGUAGGCUGGAGUUUAUGGCUCAUGCACCGGCUCUCUUUUGGGCUCCAUCUGUUCGUUCCUGCUUUUCUCGAAUCUUAUCACUCGAAGUGGAAACUUUCUUAAUCAACUUAGAGAGAAUUAGAGAGACCGAAUAAGAUCACUGCAGACCUCUAUGGCCAUACGUUGGUAGAUUUGAGUGGCAGAAAAAUAAUUUUGGAUGGCACUCCGACGCUGACUCCAAUCUGAAACCUCCAAAUGGUCGAGCCAGAUGUUGAAUUUUUAGUGACCGAUUCAUCUCAUCUGCAUAGAUUGAUUUUAAUGUAUAUGAGAUGCAAAUAUCUUGCCAAUGUUUUCAAUGGGUCUAAUUUUAUAAUUAAGCAUUUACUAGUUUGAGAGUUGCACAACUUUUCACAAUUAAGAUUUCUUCUCUACCACUCAAAUCUCAUUGAUAUAGUUUAAGCUAAUUAUUCUCCAGAUUAUGCCUUUUCUUUUUACCUGCUAGAAGAGUGAGAAUGAGUCUUGCUGAUAAUAUAUCAUUGUCAAACUACUAUAAUUUAACAUGCCCUAUGUAGUUUCAGAUCAUAUUGUGAUUCUAGUUCUCCAGUAGAUGGGGACAGUUUUAGCCUUCUCUUUCUUUGUGAGUUUUAGUUGCUUAUGUCAUCCUCUGUUAUCUAACAAUAAUAGAGGUGUACAUUUCUCAUCUUAUAUUAUGUUGUAGGAGCUGUAUUUAGAAGUAAUGAUAUUUGCACAAAAUGAAGGUUUUAUUUUUGAACUGUGACCAUUCUAAACAUUUUUGGCAAUAAAAAAAAGUGAUGCGCUAUAUUUGUCUGGAGGCAUAGACUUAUCUAAAGUUUGUCACAUCUAAGGAUUUAGAGUCAGAAGUCAUGCUGGUCUUCUUAAUGUUUAUGAUGACUCAGGAGCUUUUAUUUGGAUUAAACUAUUCUAUCGUUAUUGGUAUAACAUAUUUGACUUCCACUGGCAAUGCUUAACUCUUUUUUUGCAAUAACAAAACACCAUGUACUACAUGCUAUGUUCAUCUAAGAUUUGCUAUAUUUUGUGAACUUCAAGUUGAAAAUGAAGUUGGCCUUCUUAGUGCUUAUGACACUGGAAUUCUUAUGCAGGUCAAAGUUAUGGGCGGAUGCCUUCUUUCCAUUAUAUUCACUAGCCCUUCUUUUGGAUAUCUAUUGUUUUAUGAUAUAAUCCCAUAAAAUCUAUCAGGUUUUUAAUUGCUUCAUGUAAACUAUGGAAAGCAGAGAGUUUUUUCCAGGUUCUCAUUGCUACAUUUUCUAUCAAAACUUAACCUUAGUUCGAAUGCAAUUAUCAAUUAUAGUUGGUCCCAGCUUUUUAUAUUUUUCUUGAAUACAACUGCCAAAGGAAUGGCCUUUUAUUUUAUACUUUAUAGUAUCACGCAUGCAUGCAUAUUCUUCCUUGGCACAUUUGCAUCUCAUGUGAAUGCUCGUCUUCUGUUCUCCUGCACUUGCAUCUGAGUUAGGAAAUUAUGGACAUGCUCAUGCAUAAGCAUGUUUUAGGUAUAAAUCUUAUUGCUCUUCGAAUGCCUUUUUACAUUGAACAGCAUAUGAUUGUCUUUCCUCCAUAUUAGAAGGGAUAUAACCCAAUUAUGUUCCUGGUGAUCUGAGGUCCUGGGAGGGACGAACUAGGGAUAGUCCUAACUUUUGGCAUUCUUGUGCCCAAAGUGGCUGCUCCAGGACUUGAACCUUAUGUCAUUACAUUUGUCAACCCAAGCUUUUUACCAUUGCACGAAGCAAUGACCCCUCGUUUUUUCCUCCACAUUCUAAUUGUAAUUUUCUUUUGCACCCAUCCAUUUGUAAUUUCCAUUCUGACAUUUUGUGGAUGUCCCGUUGGGAAUUGAAUCCUUGGAAGAAACUAUGGUAAUACUGUGGUUUGCUAUGUCCUUGGAGCUGAAAACAUGCCUAUCCAUCCCGCUUUAAGAAUUAGUAUUACUGAUCCUUGUAGUGCAACAUGUUUAUUAAGUCAUGGUUUUUAUGGUGAUAAAUUUUAUCCCCAAAUGCAUCUCUAUCAUUUCGUUCCUAGAUUCAACUUGACAGAUUUGAUCUAAUGCUAUGUUCUGUGAGAACCAUCUCCUCCAUUAUAUCUUGUGAUAAACCAUGGCAUGUCAUGGGAACCCUACACUGCCAUUUUCACAUGUCAUUCAUUUUUCACAGGGGAAUAUUCAGUUGAUGAUGCAUGGAAUUUUCAAGAAUUGCAAGAACAGAUUACAAAGGGAUAUCUCUAAGAGCUGCACAAUCUGUUCCCUCCUAAGUUUACUCCAGUUUCUUUAAGUUGCUGAGAGAACGAUUUCAAUAUCCAGUCAGUUAUUAGUGAGUUAAUUGAAUGCAGAUGGGGCACAGAAACAACAGAUACAAGGGUGAAGCUCUGAAAACACCAAUUCCAAAUUUUCAGUUUUGUGAUGAACUAUUUUUCACUUGGCAGGCAAAAUUCAUGAUGCUCUGAAUUACUAUUAUUAUUAUUAUUAUUAUUAUUAUUAUUAUUGAAUCUUAAAUUUAUCUUUGUUAAAAGGAAAAAUGUUAAAAGUUUAGCAUAUUUGAAGUUUAGAAGACAGAAUUGCAAA